rnacentral:rRNA from 1 species
UGGGGAAUAUUGCACAAUGGGCGAAAGCCUGAUGCAGCGACGCCGCGUGAGGGAUGACGGCCUUCGGGUUGUAAAACCUCUUUCAGCAGGGAAGAAGCGAAAGUGACGGUACCUGCAGAAGAAGCGCCGGCUAACUACGUGCCAGCAGCCGCGGUAAUACGUAGGGCGCAAGCGUUGUCCGGAAUUAUUGGGCGUAAAGAGCUCGUAGGCGGUUAGUCGCNUCUGCUGUGAAAACUCGAGGCUCAACCUCGGGCUUGCAGUGGGUACGGGCUGACUAGAGUGCGGUAGGGGUGACUGGAAUUCCUGGUGUAGCGGUGGAAUGCGCAGAUAUCAGGAGGAACACCGAUGGCGAAGGCAGGUCACUGGGCCGCAACUGACGCUGAGGAGCGAAAGCAUGGGGAGCGAACAGAUUAGAUACCCUGGUAGUCCAUGCCGUAAACGUUGGGCACUGGUGUGGGUCCAUUCCACGGAUUCCUGCCGCAGCAAACGCAUUAAGUGCCCCGCCUGGGGAGUCGGCCGCAAGGCUAAAACUCAAAGGAAUUGNCGGGGGUCAUAGCUG